AUCCUGGAAAAAUUAGUUAAUUCAUUAUUUUAUUUCCAUUUUUCACAUUAAAAUGUUGGGAAUGCAAGAUUAAGAACCUGGGAAAGCAGCAAAAGGAAGGGAUCCCGUAAGCCUCUGGUGAAGCUGCCACUUAUGGGCCACUCAUAAGACUCAGAACCGAUAGAGUCUGGUCAGGGUCACUUGGGCCACCUGAGAGUCUAUCAUCUCUCGCUUAUGACAGAGGCUAAUGUCUUUAAUACCUUUAACGCCUGUUACGGCAGAAAAUCCUCGCCAGACUCAAGGAACAGAAAACUUUAACGUAUGGAAUGACUUCCACAAAUAUUUACUGAGAACCAGCACCCUCUGAAGCAGUGGGAUUCUAACAAGAUGGAUGGAUCUCAGCCUCCCUAGAGCUUAUUGUCCAGUGGAAAUAAAGACAAUGGACAAGCAAACAAAGAGCCCAUGAAGAGAAUAAGACAGAGUAAUGCGAUUGAGAAUGUGGGGCACCGGAAGUGGAGGGCACUGGAGCGGAUGUUGAAGCGGUGAGGAAGUUAGCGUCCCGGAUAUUGGAAACACACGCCAGGAGGGGUGAGUGAAGUAACAGCAGGGACUGUGGUAGCUGUAUCCUGGGGAGUGAGGAGGAAAGGGAGCGGAGGCAGCAAGGACUGGCUGCUGCGAAGAUGAUGUAAGGACCCGGCGAGGAGGUCAAAUGCUAUUCUAAUAGAAACUGGGAACACAACUCCGUGGACAAGAAUGAAGAGCUUCCGCGCUACUUCAGCCUGUUGGAGAUUGCGGAUGUAAGCUGCCACAGCCAAGAGUUGUCUUGAGAAAUUACCGGAACAGGAAGAGAGAAGUUCUGCGUUGCGAUCAGACGUGGUUGCUUUCUGGUGCGUGUUGGACGUGAGCACAUUGACCCCAGGUGUGGCCUCAACAUGGAGUCCUGGCUAGCCUCUCAGCUUCAAACCCCAUUGGUUACCACCGUGACGCUGCUGCUCUUCUGAAGAGCCAGUCAAAACAGGCUGGGGAGUCUGCAACAGACAUCAGCCGGAGGAGGGACAGAGAGGCCAACUGCCAUUUGGAUUUAACAGGCUUUAAAAGGUUGCCAACUGAGAAAGGAGUUAUGCCGGUGCCCAAUUAUCUAUCUGCCUCCCCUGCUCCGCGGACUCUAUGCUACCAGAGAGAAAUAAAUUAUCCUAGGGCAGAGAUUUGGAAACCUUUGGAACCAUUUACAGACUCUUAGGUUAAAUAUGCUGAGUCGCGUCUUCAGUUACUGGAGGCACAUGUUAGUAUACUGAGCAUUGGCCUAAAGUGCUUUUUAAGAAAGUGAAAUGUACACAUACAAGCUACUAUUUUCCCCUUUGAGUCAGAUGCAUACAUAUUGUUCCUGAACAUUUUCUCUCCAGGAGAAAAUGAAAAACCAUAUUUAAA
rnacentral:sRNA from 1 species